UACGGAGGGUGCGAGCGUUGUCCGGAAUCACUGGGCGUAAAGGGCGCGUAGGUGGCGCGAGGAGUCUGUGGUGAAAGCCCGAGGCUCAACUUCGGGUCGGCCGCGGAUACUCUCGUGCUGGAGGGUGGUAGAGGCCAAUGGAAUUCCGGGUGUAGCGGUGGAAUGCGCAGAUAUCAGGAGGAACACCGGUGGCGAAGGCGGGUCUCUGGGCCGAUACUGACGCUGAGGAGCGAAAGCGUGGGGAGCGAACAGG
rnacentral:rRNA from 1 species